GCGUGAGAAUUUGCCUUUAGGAGGGGGAUAACAACUGGAAACGGUUGCUAAUACCCCAUAUGCUUUCGAGUGAAAUGGAUUUCCGCCUAAAGAGAAGCUUGCGGCUGAUUAGCUUGUUGGUGAGGUAAUGGCUCACCAAGGCGACGAUCAGUAUCUGGUUUGAGAGGACGAUCAGACACACUGGAACUGAGACACGGUCCAGACUCCUACGGGAGGCAGCAGUGGGGAAUUUUCCGCAAUGGGCGAAAGCCUGACGGAGCAAUACCGCGUGAGGGAUGACGGCCUAUGGGUUGUAAACCUCUUUUUUCAGGGAGGAAUCAAUGACGUGUACCUGAAGAAUAAGCAUCGGCUAACUCCGUGCCAGCAGCCGCGGUAAGACGGAGGAUGCAAGUGUUAUCCGGAAUCACUGGGCGUAAAGCGUCUGUAGGUGGUUUAAUAAGUCAACUGUUAAAUCUUGAGGCUCAACCUCAAAAUCGCAGUCGAAACUAUUAGACUAGAGUAUAGUAGGGGUAAAGGGAAUUUCCAGUGGAGCGGUGAAAUGCGUAGAUAUUGGAAGGAACACCGAUGGCGAAGGCACUUUACUGGGCUAUUACUAACACUCAGAGACGAAAGCUAGGGUAGCAAAUGGGAU
rnacentral:rRNA from 1 species